AGUGAACGCUGGCGGUAGGCCUAACACAUGCAAGUCGAACGGCAGCACAGUAAGAGCUUGCUCUUACGGGUGGCGAGUGGCGGACGGGUGAGGAAUACAUCGGAAUCUACUUUUUCGUGGGGGAUAACGUAGGGAAACUUACGCUAAUACCGCAUUCGACCUACGGGUGGAAGCAGGGGAUCUUCGGACCUUGCGCGAUUGAAUGAGCCGAUGUCGGAUUAGCUAGUUGGCGGGGUAAAGGCCCACCAAGGCGACGAUCCGUAGCUGGUCUGAGAGGAUGAUCAGCCACACUGGAACUGAGACACGGUCCAGACUCCUACGGGAGGCAGCAGUGGGGAAUAUUGGACAAUGGGCGCAAGCCUGAUCCAGCCAUACCGCGUGGGUGAAGAAGGCCUUCGGGUUGUAAAGCCCUUUUGUUGGGAAAGAAAAGCAGCAGGUUAAUACCCCGCUGUUCUGACGGUACCCAAAGAAUAAGCACCGGCUAACUUCGU
rnacentral:rRNA from 1 species